rnacentral:rRNA from 1 species
UACGUAGUGGCGAGCGUUAUCCGGAAUUAGUUGGGCGUAAAGCGCGCGUAGGCGGUUUUUUAAGUCUGAUGUGAAAGCCCACGGCUCAACCGUGGAGGGUCAUUGGAUACUGAAAAACUUGAGUGCAGAAGAGGAAAGUGGAAUUCCAUGUGUAGCGGUGAAAUGGCGCAGAGAUAUGGAGGAACACCAGUGGCGAAGGCGACUUUCUGGUCUGUAACUGACGCGUGAUGUGCGAAAGCGUGGGGAUCAAACAGGAUUAGAUACCCUGGUAGUCCACGCCGUAAACGAUGAGUGCUAAGUGUUAGGGGGUUUCCGCCCCUUAGUGCUGCAGCUAACGCAUUAAGCACUCCGCCUGGGGAGUACGGCCGCAAGGCUUAAACUCAAAGGAAUUGACGGGGACCCGCACAAGCGGUGGAGCAUGUGGUUUAAUUCGAAGCAACGCGAAGAACCUUACCAAAUCUUGACAUCCUUUGACCGCUCUAGAGAUAGAGUCUUCCCCUUCGGGGGACAAAGUGACAGGUGGUGCAUGGUUGUCGUCAGCUCGUGUCGUGAGAUGUUGGGUUAAGUCCCGCAACGAGCGCAACCCUUAAGCUUAGUUGCCAUCAUUCAGUUGGGCACUCUAAGUUGACUGCCGGUGACAAACCGGAGGAAGGUGGGGAUGACGUCAAAUCAUCAUGCCCCUUAUGAUUUGGGCUACACACGUGCUACAAUGGACAAUACAAAGGGCAGCGAAACCGCGAGGUCAAGCAAAUCCCAUAAAGUUGUUCUCAGUUCGGAUUGUAGUCUGCAACUCGACUACAUGAAGCUGGAAUCGCUAGUAAUCGUAGAUCCGCAUGCUACGGUGAAUACCUUCCCGGGUCU